rnacentral:rRNA from 1 species
AUGCCAGACUCCUACGGGAGGCAGCAGUGGAGGAUAUUGCACAAUGGGGGAAACCCUGAUGCAGCGACACCGCGUGGGUGAGGAAGCGCUUCGGCGUGUAAAGCCCUAUCAGUGGGGAAGAAAAAGGACAGUACCCAAAGAAGAAGCACCGGCUAAAUACGUGCCAGCAGCCGCGGUAAUACGUAUGGUGCAAGCGUUAUCCGGAAUGACUGGGUGUAAAGGGAGCGUAGACGGUUGUACAAGUCUGAUGUGAAAGCCCACGGCUCAACUGUGGGAGUGCAUUGGAAACUGUAGAACUAGAGUAUCGGAGAGGCAAUCGGAAUUCCGUGUGUAGCGGUGAAAUGCGUAGAUAUCAGGAGGAACACCGGCGGCGAAGGCGGCCUGCUGGACCGCGACUGACGUUGAGGCUCGAGAGCGUGGGGAGCGAACAGGAUUAGAUACCCUUGUAA